GCGGUAAUACAGAGGGUGCAAGCGUUAAUCGGAAUUACUGGGCGUAAAGCGCGCGUAGGUGGUUUGUUAAGUUGGAUGUGAAAUCCCCGGGCUCAACCUGGGAACUGCAUUCAAAACUGACUGACUAGAGUAUGGUAGAGGGUGGUGGAAUUUCCUGUGUAGCGGUGAAAUGCGUAGAUAUAGGAAGGAACACCAGUGGCGAAGGCGACCACCUGGACUAAUACUGACACUGAGGUGCGAAAGCGUGGGGAGCAAACAGGAUUAG
rnacentral:rRNA from 1 species